GUAAUACGUAGGGCGCGAGCGUUAUCUGGAAUUAUUGGGCGUAAAGAGCUCGUAGGCGGUUUGUCGCGUCUGCCGUGAAAGUCCGGGGCUUAACCCCGGAUCUGCGGUGGGUACGGGCAGACUGGAGUGCAGUAGGGGAGACUGGAAUUCCUGGUGUAGCGGUGAAAUGCGCAGAUAUCAGGAGGAACACCGAUGGCGAAGGCAGGUCUCUGGGCUGUUACUGACGCUGAGGAGCGAAAGCAUGGGGAGCGAACAGGAUUAGAUACCCUGGUAGUCCAUGCCGUAAACGUUGGGCACUAGGUGUGGGGGCCAUUCCACGGUUUCCGCGCCGCAGCUAACGCAUUAAGUGCCCCGCCUGGGGAGUACGGCCGCAAGGCUAAAACUCAAAGGAAUUGACGGGGGCCCGCACAAGCGGCGGAGCAUGCGGAUUAAUUCGAUGCAACGCGAAGAACCUUACCAAGGCUUGACAUGUUCCCGACCGCCACAGAGAUGUGGUUUCCCCUUUGGGGCGGGUUCACAGGUGGUGCAUGGUUGUCGUCAGCUCGUGUCGUGAGAUGUUGGGUUAAGUCCCGCAACGAGCGCAACCCUCGUUCCAUGUUGCCAGCGGGUUAUGCCGGGGACUCAUGGGAGACUGCCGGGGUCAACUCGGAGGAAGGUGGGGACGACGUCAAAUCAUCAUGCCCCUUAUGUCUUGGGCUUCACGCAUGCUACAAUGGCCGGUACAAUGGGUUGCGAUACUGUGAGGUGGAGCUAAUCCCAAAAAGCCGGUCUCAGUUCGGAUUGGGGUCUGCAACUCGACCCCAUGAAGUCGGAGUCGCUAGUAAUCGCAGAUCAGCAACGCUGC
rnacentral:rRNA from 1 species